UCAACAGUUGUAUGUCCACUGUAUUUCAUCAGAAAUUUUAAUAUUAUUUCGUUAUAUUGAUUAGCUUUCGCCUAUACUUAAAAUUUUAAUUACUCUUCAGGGUUUAUUUCAAGCGUGUGGUAAUUUCUCUGUUAUUAACUUUUGUUAAAAAAAUGUAUAACAUGUCAUUUUAUGAAAAUUUAUUUUGAUAUUCGGGACUAGGGCAUAUGGAAGCAAGCAAUUUCAUUUUGAAAUAGUUUUGCUCACACCAACUGACUACAUAGUUGUGUCCAACGAACAUGCUUGUAGUCUUUGUUGACGUACGAAACAUGCCGGGAAAAGCCGUACAACAGUAGCAGGAUCAACUCUCGAGAACGUAAAUUUGUUGUAAUUUCUGUGUUCGUGUCCCGCAACCACAUACAUCAUACAAGCACAUAUCAAAACAUAGAGAGCAAUCUUUCACCCUUUCUUCCAAAUGUAUUACUUCGAAACACGUCGUCUGCCUGCUGCUCUCUCAUUGGCUGUGUCACACAUACAGCUGACACACCUGCUUUUGUUCCCAUCAUACCUCACGGCAAGUGCUGACAACAUUCCUGCAUGAAACACGUAAGUAUGCCACUGGCCCUAUUCUAGACUUUUACCAACAGGAGACUUAGUUUUUGCAUUCAGGAAAUGUAACUUGAUUUUUAUGUUUAUGUUGAAAAUACUGUUAAAAUACCUCACAUUUUUUACUUAUUUAUUUUUUCUUUCCUACAUUAGUCUCUCUCUGAAAAAAAUAAUUUGUAUUUAUAUGGCGUUAAAAAUUCAAUAUGGGCAAGUGGGACCACUUUCAGUACUUAAACAAUU